GCUUUCGUGGUGUAAUUGUCAGCACAUUCGGCGCGUAUUCGAGAGGUACAGGUUCGAGUCCCGGUGAGGGCA
rnacentral:tRNA from 1 species